GAAGAGUGUUUGGCGAAAGUAUUUAUGAAGCAGUGCAAGUCCCCCAAGUUAAAUAUUGGACUAAGCCCUCACAUUUCACACAGCGAACUAAAAUUCGAGUACUUACACAAUCUUGAAGCCAUCCCAAAAUGUCAUCUGUUUGCCUUACAUAUCGACUUAAGAUAUUUGCUCAAAUCUGUUGUAAACAGCAUCCUCCCCUCCAUUUUUUGACGUUGAUAUGCUAGAGACAAACUUAUACAUGUUUUUAGGUUUGCUUCCUGAUGGGAUAAUUUCAUUUAGCUUCCAUUCAUGGUAUGCCAUAUAAAGCAGAAAUGGUUUCCCUAAUUUUAGUCUAAUUCAGGUCGAUAUGUUUGUCAGAAACAUAUCAGGGGUGCAUGAUUGCCUUAUCCAAAUUUAAUACGUUCAAUUGCUGGCUUAGUGAUAGUUCUAUUGUAAAAUCAACCUUUUCCUUGUGGCCACAAGUGAUCUGUAGAGUGAUACAUUGAAUUAGAAGAACUAAUAGAAUUAUUUUCAGUUUUUUCUUCUCAAAGAUCUGAGUUUUCUUUUUCUGUGUGUGCAUGUGUGUUGAGACAGGGUCUCCCUAUGUAGCCCAGGCUGGUCUUGAACUCUGAGUGAUCCUCCUGCUUCAUCCUCCUCAGUGAUGGGAUUGCAAUUGUGCACCACUACACUUGGGUAUAAUUGUGUGUAAAUAUGAAAAGAAUCACGUAUCAUUACAGCUGAGGCAUUGGUUUGAGGAGAAAAACUUACAUGAAUAUAAUUUUAACAAGCAAAAAAAUGUUUUUUGUUCAUAGGCCAGACAUGGUUCUAUGCUGUGGGAACUGCAGUAGUGAAUGACAGUGAACAAAGCAGUAGUUCAGUAUUCAUUCAUGGAGUUUAUUUUAGUAAUAGGUUCUGGGUGCACAAUGUAAGUUAAACAUAGUAUGUCAUAUGAUACUGAGUGCUCUCAUUACUGAUGCGAGAAACAGUAAAUUUUGUGUUAGGAAAUAUUAUGGUUUUUAGUUAGCUGUGUGAAACGUGAGGGCUUAGGUACUGCAUACUUAACAGUUUGGGGUGAAAUGUACUGAUGUUUGUAUGUAUAUUUUUAAACAAAAUGCUACCAAUGCUAUGUAUGUAGCUGAUGUUUAAGGCUGGCCUUGAACUCUCGGUGAUCCUCUUGCCUCAGCCUCCUGAGUGACAGGAUCUAAUCUAUAUUUAAAAAUGAUCUAUCUGGAUGCUUGAUGGAAAAUGUGAUAGGACCAGAGUAGGAGUGAGGAGAUCACAUAGGAGGCUACAAAAAUAGUUGGGAUGAAAUGGCUUGGACCAAUGUGCUGGUGGUAGAGGUUGGAAAAAGUGUUUGGACCCUGCAUAUAUUUUGAAAGGAAGGCUUUAGACUUUUUUCCAUGAACUAGUAAUGUUUAGGAUCUGAGAAAGAAAAUUUGUGGAUGAUUCCUAUGAUUUUAACUAUGGAAAUUGGGAUAGAGAAACCACAUUGGUAAAUUGGGAAGAAUGUAAGGAACAACUUUUUGAAGGGAAUUACAGGUCUAGUUUUGAAUAUUCAAGGAGAGAACAAUGUGAAAUUGGUAGUUGGAUAUAUGAGUCAGGAGUUUAGGGAAAAAGAGUGGGAACAUAAUUGAAUGUAACUGCCGUGAGAAUAGAAAAGCCACAAGAUCCAAAGAAAUCUUUUGGGAAAGAAGCUUGAAAAUGAAGAGAAGCAGUUCAAGGAUGGAGCCCCAGGUCAGAGAAAUGAGGAAUAUUUACUAGGUACCCAUGGUGUAUAGAUUAAUAACUUUGGUUUUAGAAGGGCUUUGUCCAGUUUUCAUCCUUUCUCCUGUUAUUCUCAGCACAGAAUACAUUUUAUUCCUAUGUGGAAAAAUGCCCUCACCAGCAGGGUAUGCAAUAACUCUGGAAACCUCACCCAAGCAAUGUCUUAAAAUUAGAGCGAUGGGGCAAUCCCUGUGGGGAUACAGUGAUCCUGGACAUAUAGGACACUCUCUCUGAAAUGCACCCCUUCUCCCCACAUGAUUAGCAAACAGUUUCAGUGUGUUUUCAGGCCUCCUGAAGUCUACGAUAGUACUCAGUGUAAGAGUUCUGUAUCUGAUGCUGCCUUCUUCCAAACCAUCACAGAAGCUUGUAUUACACAGGAGGAACCAGGGAAGGCCACAGACCCUGCACGGCAGCCUUGCUGUGGGUGUGAUUGGGGAGGCAGCGGGUGUUGGGGACCCUGCUGGGGCUGUCACCCAACUCGCUCCUUAGGGAGAGACUCUACAGGCAGCAUGUGCAGCUCAGAGGUCAGCCAUGACAAGUGAGCUUUCUCCUGGACAAAGGACAACAGCUGCACAGACACUGCCACGGCGUGGAAACCAGAUGAAGCUCAGGACAUGAGAAGUACACUUCACCAAGAGCAUAAACAGGAACAGAGAGGCAGCAAUUUGUUAAUUUGACUGAUCCUAAAGGUCUUCACAGAUGAGCCCUGAGAAUGAAAAUCUGACGCUGUUGAACUGCCAUCUCCUUGUUGCUAUGGAGAUAGGUCUACCUGUUGAUAAUAUGGAAAAUUAAGUCACCCCACAGAUUUUUUCCCCUUGAGCCCCAGUCUCAGACUGUGCUACCUGUUGGCAAGCCCUUGAGACAGCCCAAUUAACAUUCACUUGUAACUUCAAAGGAAUUUUGGAAUUUUGGAAAUCACCUCUGCAAAAAAGAGGUCCUGUCAUCAUCCUGAAUUUGGUGAACUGCAACAUUUACCCUUUCAGUUGGAGCCAUUUUUGUCUUUCCUUUCACACUGGACAUCCAAUCUAUCUGUCAUAAUAACUCAGUUCUGAAACUACAAGUCGUUUCUUAUUCCCAUUGGCCUUGUUCACUUUUAUUAGUACCGUGUCCUGGUCACCUGGUUCUCCCUUUGCUUUCUUUCAUACAGCAGCCAGACAGACUACAACCAAGGGCAAGUGAGAUCAGGUCACCUUUCUGCUGGAAACCCCUAGUAAUGCUCAUUGCACUCCAGGUGAAAGACGGAGUGUUUUCCGUGGCCCAGAAGGCCUUGCUUUUAGGUCUUUGUUAGCUAUUAGGCCUCAAAUCCCAGUACUUUUCCUCUCCUUCCAAACCUAGCUUCACCAACUCCUGGGACCUUCCCUCACCCAGGGUCUCUGUUCUGAUACACAUCUGUUCUGACUGUUCCUUCUGCCUGGGCCUCACCUCUUCUGGACUUCUGCAGGCCUUGCUCCCUCUCUCAGGUAUAUUGGAGAGUCAACACACGCCCUGCAGAGAAGCACCGCAGGAAGGAAGGGUGACAUAGGAUGUCCAAAGAGCAUGUAAUUCAGCAACCAUCUACCGGUGCUCCAGGUUCCACAAUCAACCAAUCAGGCUCGAGGGCUUCCUGCAGGUUCCCG